GCGCCGGUGGUGUAAGGCGAACAUCGCUGACCGGAAAGCAGAAGAUGCGGGUUCGAGUCCCGCCUGGCACA
rnacentral:tRNA from 1 species